rnacentral:hammerhead_ribozyme from 1 species
AUCUAGAUGACGAAUCCCAAUUAGAACGGAACGCAUGUCCUGGAU